GACGAACGCUGGCGGCGUGCUUAACACAUGCAAGUCGAACGGAAAGGCCCUGCUUGCCGGGUACUCGAGUGGCGAACGGGUGAGUAACACGUGGGUGAUCUGCCCUGCACUUCGGGAUAAGCUUGGGAAACUGGGUCUAAUACCGGAUAGGACCGCACUUUAGUGUGUGUGGUGGAAAGUUUUUUCGGUGUAGGAUGAGCCCGCGGCCUAUCAGCUUGUUGGUGGGGUAAUGGCCUACCAAGGCGGCGACGGGUAGCCGGCCUGAGAGGGUGUACGGCCACAUUGGGACUGAGAGACGGCCCAGACUCCUACGGGAGGCAGCAGUGGGGAAUAUUGCACAAUGGGCGCAAGCCUGAUGCAGCGACGCCGCGUGGGGGAUGAAGGCCUUCGGGUUGUAAACUCCUUUCGCUAGGGACGAAGCGUUGUUGUGACGGUACCUAGAUAAGAAGCACCGGCUAACUACGUG
rnacentral:rRNA from 1 species